UUGCACGCUGGCGGCAGGCCUCACACAUGCAAGUCGAACGGUAACAGGAAACAGCUUGCUGUUUCGCUGACGAGUGGCGGACGGGUGAGUAAUGUCUGGGAAACUGCCUGAUGGAGGGGGAUAACUACUGGAAACGGUAGCUAAUACCGCAUAACGUCGCAAGACCAAAGAGGGGGACCUUCGGGCCUCUUGCCAUCGGAUGUGCCCAGAUGGGAUUAGCUAGUAGGUGGGGUAACGGCUCACCUAGGCGACGAUCCCUAGCUGGUCUGAGAGGAUGACCAGCCACACUGGAACUGAGACACGGUCCAGACUCCUACGGGAGGCAGCAGUGGGGAAUAUUGCACAAUGGGCGCAAGCCUGAUGCAGCCAUGCCGCGUGUAUGAAGAAGGCCUUCGGGUUGUAAAGUACUUUCAGCGGGGAGGAAGGGAGUAAAGUUAAUACCUUUGCUCAUUGACGUUACCCGCAGAAGAAGCACCGGCUAACUCCGUG
rnacentral:rRNA from 1 species